rnacentral:rRNA from 1 species
AGAGUUUGAUCAUGGCUCAGGACGAACGCUGGCGGCGUGCCUAAUACAUGCAAGUAGAACGCUGAAGAGAGGAGCUUGCUCUUCUUGGAUGAGUUGCGAACGGGUGAGUAACGCGUAGGUAACCUGCCUUGUAGCGGGGGAUAACUAUUGGAAACGAUAGCUAAUACCGCAUAACAAUGGAUGACCCAUGUCAUUUAUUUGAAAGGGGCAAAUGCUCCACUACAAGAUGGACCUGCGUUGUAUUAGCUAGUAGGUGAGGUAACGGCUCACCUAGGCGACGAUACAUAGCCGACCUGAGAGGGUGAUCGGCCACACUGGGACUGAGACACGGCCCAGACUCCUACGGGAGGCAGCAGUAGGGAAUCUUCGGCAAUGGGGGCAACCCUGACCGAGCAACGCCGCGUGAGUGAAGAAGGUUUUCGGAUCGUAAAGCUCUGUUGUAAGUCAAGAACGAGUGUGAGAGUGGAAAGUUCACACUGUGACGGUAGCUUACCAGAAAGGGACGGCUAACUACGUGCCAGCAGCCGCGGUAAUACGUAGGUCCCGAGCGUUGUCCGGAUUUAUUGGGCGUAAAGCGAGCGCAGGCGGUUUGAUAAGUCUGAAGUUAAAGGCUGUGGCUCAACCAUAGUUCGCUUUGGAAACUGUCAAACUUGAGUGCAGAAGGGGAGAGUGGAAUUCCAUGUGUAGCGGUGAAAUGCGUAGAUAUAUGGAGGAACACCGGUGGCGAAAGCGGCUCUCUGGUCUGUAACUGACGCUGAGGCUCGAAAGCGUGGGGAGCGAACAGGAUUAGAUACCCUGGUAGUCCACGCCGUAAACGAUGAGUGCUAGGUGUUGGAUCCUUUCCGGGAUUCAGUGCCGCAGCUAACGCAUUAAGCACUCCGCCUGGGGAGUACGACCGCAAGGUUGAAACUCAAAGGAAUUGACGGGGGCCCGCACAAGCGGUGGAGCAUGUGGUUUAAUUCGAAGCAACGCGAAGAACCUUACCAGGUCUUGACAUCCCGAUACUAUUUCUAGAGAUAGAAAGUUACUUCGGUACAUCGGUGACAGGUGGUGCAUGGUUGUCGUCAGCUCGUGUCGUGAGAUGUUGGGUUAAGUCCCGCAACGAGCGCAACCCCUAUUGUUAGUUGCCAUCAUUCAGUUGGGCACUCUAGCGAGACUGCCGGUAAUAAACCGGAGGAAGGUGGGGAUGACGUCAAAUCAUCAUGCCCCUUAUGACCUGGGCUACACACGUGCCACAAUGGUUGGUACAACGAGUUGCGAGUCGGUGACGGCAAGCUAAUCUCUUAAAGCCAAUCUCAGUUCGGAUUGUAGGCUGCAACUCGCCUACAUGAAGUCGGAAUCGCUAGUAAUCGCGGAUCAGCACGCUGCGGUGAAUACGUUCCCGGGCCUUGUACACACCGCCCGUCACACCACGGGAGUUUGUAACACCCGAAGUCGGUGAGGUAACCUUUUGGAGCCAGCCGCCUAAGGUGGGAUAGAUGAUUGGGGUGAAGUCGUAACAAGGUA